AUAUCAAUAAGCGGAGGAAAAGAAACCAACCGGGAUUGCCUUAGUAACGGCGAGUGAAGCGGCAAAAGCUCAAAUUUGAAAUCUGGCUCCUUUGCGGGGGUCCGAGUUGUAAUUUGAAGAAGCGACUUUGGGCCUGGCUCUUGUCUAUGUUCCUUGGAACAGGACGUCACAGAGGGUGAGAAUCCCGUGCGAUGAGAGACCCAGGUUCGUGUAAAGCGUUUUCGACGAGUCGAGUUGUUUGGGAAUGCAGCUCUAAGUGGGUGGUAAAUUCCAUCUAAAGCUAAAUAUUGGCGAGAGACCGAUAGCGAACAAGUACAGUGAUGGAAAGAUGAAAAGAACUUUGAAAAGAGAGUGAAAAAGUACGUGAAAUUGUUGAAAGGGAAGGGCUUGAGAUCAGACUUUGUUUUUCCAUGGCGCUCUUUCGGGGGUGUCCUCUGGGUCUACAGGGCCAGCAUGGGUUUUGCGGGCGAGACAAGGACCUAGGAAUGUGGCUCUGCUUCGGUGGAGUGUUAUAGCCUGGGGUACUGGUCGCCAUGCGGGACCGAGGACUGCGGUACUAGGAUGCUGGCAUAAUGAUCUUAAGCCGC
rnacentral:rRNA from 1 species